rnacentral:rRNA from 1 species
ACUCCUACGGGAGGCAGCAGUGGGGAAUAUUGCACAAUGGGCGCAAGCCUGAUGCAGCCAUGCCGCGUGUGUGAAGAAGGCCUUCGGGUUGUAAAGCACUUUCAGCAGUGAGGAAGGCGGAGUCGUUAAUAGCGGCCUCGUUUGACGUUAGCUGCAGAAGAAGCACCGGCUAACUCCGUGCCAGCAGCCGCGGUAAUACGGAGGGUGCGAGCGUUAAUCGGAAUUACUGGGCGUAAAGCGCAUGCAGGUGGUUUGUUAAGUCAGAUGUGAAAGCCCGGGGCUCAACCUCGGAAUAGCAUUUGAAACUGGCAGACUAGAGUCUUGUAGAGGGGGGUAGAAUUUCAGGUGUAGCGGUGAAAUGCGUAGAGAUCUGAAGGAAUACCAGUGGCGAAGGCGGCCCCCUGGACAAAGACUGACGCUCAGAUGCGAAAGCGUGGGGAGCAAACAGGAUUAGAUACCCUGGUAGGAUAGCG